GUCUUUUUGGGAUAUUUUUAAAGUCUGACCUGCCCACUGAAAUUUUAAAUGGCCGCAGUAUCCUAACUGUGCAAAGGUAGCAUAAUCAAUAGUCUUUUAAUUGAAGGCUGGUAUGAACGGUUGGACGAGGUAUAAGCUGUUUCAUAUAAAUUUAUAGUAGAAUUUUAUAUUUUAGUUAAAAAGCUAAAAUACUGUUAAAAGACGAGAAGACCCUAUAAAUCUUUAUAUUUUAUAUGAUUUAAGUUUUUUGGAUUUAUUUUAUUUUUAUUAUAUAAAAUAUUUUGUUGGGGUGAUGUUAAAAUUUGAUAAACUUUUAAUUUUUAGAAUCAUUAAUUUAUGAGUUAUUGAUCCAUUAAUAGUGAUUAUAAGAUUAAGUUACUUUAGGGAUAACAGCGUAAUUUUUUUGGAGAGUUCAUAUCGAUAAAAAAGUUUGCGACCUCGAUGUUGGAUUAAGAUAUAAUUUUAGGUGUAGCCGCUUAAAUGUUAAGUCUGUUCGACUUUUAAAUUCUU
rnacentral:rRNA from 1 species